rnacentral:rRNA from 1 species
UACGGAGGGUGCGAGCGUUGUCCGGAAUCACUGGGCGUAAAGGGCGCGUAGGUGGCCUGUGGAAGUCUGCGGUGAAAGCCCGGCGCUCAACGCCGGGUCGGCCGUGGAUACUCUCGGGCUCGAGCUUACUAGAGGCAGACGGAAUUCCAGGUGUAGCGGUGAAAUGCGUAGAUAUCGGAAGGAACACCUGUGGCGAAAGCGGCUCACUGGACCAUUACUGACGCUGAGGCACGAAAGCUAGGGGAGCAAACAGG